rnacentral:lncRNA from 1 species
CGGUGGUUAGUGAGAAGGAUGAAGGAAGGGGGAGGAGUGAUAGUGAGAGCUCAGAGAAUGAAGAGGAACGCGUCAGCUACGACAGCGGCGAUGGAGCCGGUGACAUUCAGAUAAACUUGUCCUCAAAAGAAGCUGCUGUUGGGAUGCUUUCCUUUUCGUCACAGUCCUUAAGGCUCCAGAUGCACCAGAAAGCCAGAAGAAAGGCCUUGGGACGUCCUGACAUGGUGGGUUUGCUCGGCGCUGACCAGAGAAAAGCACAAAGAAGAACCAACCUUGCUAACACAGACACGGGCCGUCCGGACCACGUUGGGGGCAACAAAGCCCAUCAGCAUUGUUGGAGUACGUCGUCAAUGGGUGGUAAUGUUGGGGACUACAGAACCAUGACAGAGAACAAGAGAACCAUCAAAGAUGACGAGAAGAGGGCGUCUGUCGAAGCGACUAUUCGGGAAAGGUAGAGAUUUGCAGAGUUGUAUGGUGUUAUGUGAUGGUGUUUAAACCUAAACAGUAGAGUCAAAGAGGACGGGUGACUCAGAUAUGAGGCUCCCAUUGGU